rnacentral:rRNA from 1 species
AUUGAACGCUGGCGGCAUGCUUUACACAUGCAAGUCGAACGGCAGCGCGGGCUUCGGCCUGGCGGCGAGUGGCGAACGGGUGAGUAAUGCAUCGGAACGUGCCCAGUAGUGGGGGAUAGCCCGGCGAAAGCCGGAUUAAUACCGCAUACGACCUGAGGGUGAAAGCGGGGGACCGAAAGGCCUCGCGCUAUUGGAGCGGCCGAUGUCGGAUUAGCUAGUUGGUGGGGUAAAGGCUUACCAAGGCGACGAUCCGUAGCUGGUCUGAGAGACGACCAGCCACACUGGGACUGAGACACGGCCCAGACUCCUACGGGAGGCAGCAGUGGGGAAUUUUGGACAAUGGGGGCAACCCUGAUCCAGCCAUGCCGCGUGCGGGAAGAAGGCCUUCGGGUUGUAAACCGCUUUUGUUCGGGAAGAAAUCCUCUGGGCUAAUACCCCGGGGGGAUGACGGUACCGGAAGAAUAAGCACCGGCUAACUACGUG